rnacentral:tRNA from 1 species
UGAGAGCUAGUGAAACUUUACACGAAUGAAUUUGGAUCAUUAAAAGGAGUUAAAACUCCGCCCUCAU